UACGUAGGGUGCGAGCGUUAAUCGGAAUUACUGGGCGUAAAGCGUGCGCAGGCGGUGAUGUAAGACCGAUGUGAAAUCCCCGGGCUUAACCUGGGAACUGCAUUGGUGACUGCAUUGCUGGAGUAUGGCAGAAGGGGGUGGAAUUCCACGUGUAGCAGUGAAAUGCGUAGAGAUGUGGAGGAACACCGAUGGCGAAGGCAGCCCCCUGGGCCAAUACUGACGCUCAUGCACGAAAGCGUGGGGAGCAAACAGG
rnacentral:rRNA from 1 species